GGCAGUUUGGCACAGUGGUUAGUGCCCUCUCUCUAGCGUACUGCGCCAUGAGACAGUGCCUGGUUCGAAUCCAGGGCUGCCC
rnacentral:tRNA from 1 species